rnacentral:rRNA from 1 species
CCUUCGGGUCGUAAAGCUCAAUAGUAUGGGAAGAAAGAAAUGACGGUACCAUACGAAAAGCCCCGGCUAACUACGUGCCAGCAGCCGCGGUAAUACGUAGGGGGGCGAGCGUUGUCCGGAAUUACUGGGCGUAAAGAGCACGUAGGCGGCUAUAUAAGUCAGAUGUAAAAAACCUGGGCUUAACCGAGGGGAUGCAACUGAAACUAUAUAGCUUGAGUCAAGGAGAGGAGAGCGGAAUUCCUGGUGUAGCGGUGAAAUGCGUAGAGAUCGGGAGGAACACCAGUGGCGAAGGCGGCUUACUGGGCUUUAACUGACGCUGAGGCACGAAAGCAUGGGUAGCAAACAGGAUU